GGAAGAGGCUGGUCCUACAGGUGAUCCCCAUUCUGAGGAAGAGGCUGGUCCUACAGGUGAUCCCCAUUCUGAGGAAGAGGCUGGUCCUACAGGUGAUGCCCAUUCUGAGGAAGAGGCUAGUCCUACAGGUGAUGCCCAUUCUGAGGAAGAGGCUGGUCCUACAGGUGAUGCCCAUUCUGAGGAAGAGGCUGGUCCUACAGGUGAUGCCCAUUCUGAGGAAGAGGCUGGUCCAGGUUUCCAUCAUCAUCCUCAGGCUCCACAAAGUCCUAGUUGCUGAGGCAGACGUGCAGCAUUCAACCACCUCAGACACAAAGCCAGGCUUCACCUCCAGGCCUUCAUGAUGGAGCUUCACAGGGUCUUCAUUAUCCUGAAGGACCACUCCACCACAUUCCUCGCCUUGCAUUGUAGGUGGCCUCCACUACACCCAUCACUGGCUGCCUGUAGGGUCAUUAUACAGAUGGGCUCGGCCAGGCAGAGUAAAGGACUGUUACAGGACCCUGGCGUCGUGCACAGACCCGGGGAAGGCAAUGUAGAUGAACCUGCACCUGUGGUCACAGAUGGCCUGUAGCUGAUAUGAAUAAAACUCUUCAUGAUCCCACCACUGACCCUGUGGAUGACAUGGGGCACUGUGGUCCGGUGGACAUCAAAUGCCUCGGACACAACACGAUACGAAGUGUCACUGGCCAGCCAAUAGAGAAACAGGAGGCUUCCAAGGUCUGGACCCAGCCAUGGUCCUGGUCUUCAUGCUGCAAGGCCUCUACCAGCCUGUCAAAAGAGGGUCAUUCAGAAGUGGGGCUUGAGGUCAAGGUCGUCUAGGAUGGGUACAUUGGGAUUUAGCAGUAGGGUCCUCUGCCACCAGUUUGUGAUGAGAAAAGGCAACUUUACCAAAUUGAAACAAAAUAAAAAGCUUUCGCAUGAUUUGGUAUGUAGGCCUAUUCUGCCAUGUGUGUAUAUUAUUGAGUGUAGCCUAUAGGCUACACUAAACGACAUGUUCUAAUAUUAUAUUCCAAGUGCAUGUAUCAAAUUAACAAUGAACUUGGCUACAUACAGACCAGUCCAGUGUAAUAAUUGACUUAGAAUGUGGCCUACCUACAUUUGCAUUUUGGUCAAGGAGAAUACAGCGCCUCAACAGCGCCCUCCUUUGACCAGAUUCCUGUCGUCUCUUCCUCCUUCCAGCCUCGGUCUUCUGAACAGCCAACGGCAGUUCAUCAUUAUAGCCAGGACAACAAAUACAGCUGCUAAAUAUAUGUCUAACAACGACAGAUGGACAGCAAGGACUAUGAGAUGUGGUGAGCUGCCGCUGCAGGUAAAGUGUGUGGUAUGUCUGUCUCAAGUCUCAUACAGUGAACGGUGUGCCGAGUGGAGUCACAGAGGGUUUAACAUACUAUAACAAUGGACACAUCCAAUACAGAUGGAGGAAAACAGUCACAGAGGGUUUAACAUACUAUAACAAUGGACACAUCCAAUACAGAUGGAGGAAAACAGACAGAGGGUUUAACAUACUAUAACAAUGGACACAUCCAAUACAGAUGGAGGAAAACAGACACAGAGGGUUUAACAUACUAUAACAAUGGACACAUCCAAUACAGAUGGAGGAAAACAGACAGAGGGUUUAACAUACUAUAACAAUGGACACAUCCAAUACAGAUGGAGGAAAACAGACACAGAGGGUUUAACAUACUAUAACAAUGGACACAUCCAAUACAGAUGGAGGAAAACAGACACAGAGGGUUUAACAUACUAUAACAAUGGACACAUCCAAUACAGAUGGAGGAA